AACGAACGCUGGCGGCAUGCCUAACACAUGCAAGUCGAACGAGACCUUCGGGUCUAGUGGCGCACGGGUGCGUAACGCGUGGGAACCUGCCCUUAGGUUCGGAAUAACUCCCCGAAAGGGGUGCUAAUACCGGAUAAUGUCUUCGGACCUAAGAUUUAUCGCCUUUGGAUGGGCCCGCGUUGGAUUAGCUAGUUGGUAGGGUAAAAGCCUACCAAGGCGACGAUCCAUAGCUGGUCUGAGAGGAUGAUCAGCCACACUGGGACUGAGACACGGCCCAGACCCCUACGGGAGGCAGCAGUGGGGAAUAUUGGACAAUGGGCGAAAGCCUGAUCCAGCAAUGCCGCGUGAGUGAUGAAGGCCUUAGGGUUGUAAAGCUCUUUUACCCGGGAUGAUAAUGACAGUACCGGGAGAAUAAGCUCCGGCUAACUCCGUG
rnacentral:rRNA from 1 species